rfam:Medicago truncatula strain A17 chromosome 7, whole genome shotgun sequence.
AGAUGAAUAUGAUGAAAAAAAUAAUGAAAGAUAUCUGAAAAUCAAAUACUUUGUAUUUGAUAUGAUCGAACAAAAUUAUCGCUACGUUCUUUCUGAUUCAUCU